rnacentral:rRNA from 1 species
GAUGAACGCUAGCGGCAGGCUUAAUACAUGCAAGUUGAGGGGCAGCAUGAUAUACGCGAGUAUAUUGAUGGCGACCGGCGGACGGGUGAGUAAUAGGUAGGAGACCUACCUCAUACAGGGGGAUAGCAUAGAGAAAUCUGUGGUAAUACCCCAUGAGGUUAUAUGAAUAGAGGCAUAUAAUCAAAGCAUAAGCGAUUAUGCGGUAUGAGAGGGGCCUACUGACCAUUAGCUAGUUGGUGAGGUAAGGGCUCACCAAGGCGAAGAUGGUUAGGGGUUUUGAGAGAGAGACCCCCCACAUUGGAACUGAGAGACGGUCCAGACUCCUACGGGAGGCAGCAGUAGGGAAUAUUGGGCAAUGGGCGAAAGCCUGACCCAGCCAUGCCGCGUGAAGGAAGACGGCCUUAUGGGGUUGUAAACUUCUUUACUACGCGAAUAGAGGUUAGUACGAGAUACUAAUAGGAAGGUAGUGUAGUAAAAAGCACCGGCUAAACUCCGGU